AAAAACAAACAAAUCCUUAUCUCAGACAACACCUUUAUCAAAGCAGGCGCUACUGUUAUUGCUGUCAGUCUUCAACAGCAGACCUUGAGAAUGCCUUCUUCCAUUUGUAGGCACAUAGUUAAUACGAUAAAUAUUAAUGUAAGAGAAGCCAUAGUAAGGUUUUAUCACCUGAAGAUAUGAUUACAAUAUUGUGAAGCCAGUCAUGUAUAAUCUGGGGAUAAAGGAUUAUCAACAGCUAAUGCAGUUUCCAGAUUUUUUAAGAAGAUUUUAACAAAAAACAUUGACAGAAAUUUUUAACAUGUAUCAACUAAGCCCACAGUGUAAAGUCAUACAUUUUCUGCUGUUACGAAUAUGAGUGGGAUCAGCACACAAGUAAUAUAUUGUGGAAACAACAGGAAUUUUAUUAGAAGAAAAAGAUACCUGAAACAACAGUCUCAUGCAUUAGUUAUAGCUUACUUGGAUUGAAGAAUCUUGGACACCACAAAAAUUCAUACGUAUCUUCAACGGAGACUACAACAUUGUAGGCUAACAUGAGGAAGAAAUAGAAGAUGAAAUCAAAAUGGAGGAGAAGGAAUGUGGAACAAGAGGAAAAGAUGUAAUACGCGCAUAGUAAAGAAGUGUUUGACAAAAUAAUGUUGCAAAAUGUGUCAAAAGCUAAUCUGUUUGAUGCACAUUGAAACUUUUAGCUCUGACUGCAGUAAAAUUCCUGAUGUAUUACUGUAGCCCAAAAGUGACAAUGAGACAGAUUAGUGUGUAAUAUUGUCAUUGUUGUUGUCCUCUAAUGUCAUCUUUCCAUUUCUGUAAAGAUAUUUGUCAUUUAUAAGAAGUUUCACUAGUGAAAUUUAUUAAAGAAGCAAGUGAAAAUGCAGUGUUGUUAUCGUUUGUUACCACAGUUCAACACUGACAACAAGAAAUCUGAAUGAUUACCUUUCUAUUGUUGUUGUGCUCUUUGUCUUUCUUUAAAGAUAUUUCAUUUACAGAGUUAGUUAGUUAGUUGGUUGGUUACGUGUUCGUGGAUCUUUUACUUAAUAGAUUGUAGUGAUGUGGAGCAAGCCAUUUUAUAUUUACAUUGCAAAUUGAUGUGUACAUAUGUUUACAGUAUGAACGUUUCUAAGUUGUUUUUUGUUUUGUUAAUGUGAUUUAAUAAAUAACCAUGUGAAUAA